rnacentral:lncRNA from 1 species
UGUGUGUCUGAUAAUCAAAUAAUGAUCUACUUUAAAGAGCUAAGAUGGCUGUAGUUGGCAUUGUAGCUUUUCAGGAGACCGCUCUCCUUCAUAAAAAAGGUUUCACAUCUUUCCAAACUAUUUUUUAGGGUAUGAGGUGGCAAAAGAUGUUAUUUGAGUACUCCAGUGAUGGUUACAUUAAUUGAAUAUACAGCCUCAGAAAUUGGAAGUACCUUUUCAAUUGCACUGAAUGCAACUGAGCAUAAGUUCUGACUGCAUAAUUUCCAACAAGAGGAAAGGAAGAGUGAUUUCACACUGAAGACGUGAUCAGUAACACAAGAAAACAGCAAUAUCAAUCUUUUCCAUUCUUUGUACUGCAUUGCACUGGAAUUCCAAGAGGUUAUGAAAGAGAAAUCUCAGUCUGACAGGCUAGUCCACUUUACAGUGAACUUCUUGGUUUCCCCUAAGUAUAGACCUUCUUGAUAGUAUUUGGAGCAUAACUGUGACAAUGAGAUAGUCACGUGAAAAUACAAACUUUCAUUAAGUGAUUAUAUAUCCAUGUUCCUCUUUCUAAAUAUUUCUCAUUGUUUCCUUUUUGUUCUGCA